rnacentral:rRNA from 1 species
CGAUGAACCACUUCGGUGGGGAUUAGUGGCGAACGGGUGAGUAACACGUGGGCAAUCUGCCCUGCACUCUGGGACAAGCCCUGGAAACGGGGUCUAAUACCGGAUACGAGUUUCACAGGCAUCUGUGAUUCUGGAAAGCUCCGGCGGUGCAGGAUGAGCCCGCGGCCUAUCAGCUUGUUGGUGAGGUAACGGCUCACCAAGGCGACGACGGGUAGCCGGCCUGAGAGGGCGACCGGCCACACUGGGACUGAGACACGGCCCAGACUCCUACGGGAGGCAGCAGUGGGGAAUAUUGCACAAUGGGCGCAAGCCUGAUGCAGCGACGCCGCGUGAGGGAUGACGGCCUUCGGGUUGUAAACCUCUUUCAGCAGGGAAGAAGCGAGAGUGACGGUACCUGCAGAAGAAGCGCCGGCUAACUACGUGCCAGCAGCCGCGGUAAUACGUAGGGCGCAAGCGUUGUCCGGAAUUAUUGGGCGUAAAGAGCUCGUAGGCGGCUUGUCGCGUCGGAUGUGAAAGCCCGGGGCUUAACCCCGGGUCUGCAUUCGAUACGGGCAGGCUAGAGUUCGGUAGGGGAGAUCGGAAUUCCUGGUGUAGCGGUGAAAUGCGCAGAUAUCAGGAGGAACACCGGUGGCGAAGGCGGAUCUCUGGGCCGAUACUGACGCUGAGGAGCGAAAGCGUGGGGAGCGAACAGGAUUAGAUACCCUGGUAGUCCACGCCGUAAACGGUGGGCACUAGGUGUGGGCAACAUUCCACGUUGUCCGUGCCGCAGCUAACGCAUUAAGUGCCCCGCC